GACGAACGCUGGCGGCGUGCCUAACACAUGCAAGUCGAACGGAAAGGCCCUGCUUUUGUGGGGUGCUCGAGUGGCGAACGGGUGAGUAACACGUGAGUAACCUGCACUUGACUUUGGGAUAACUUCAGGAAACUGGGGCUAAUACCGGAUAGGAGCUCCCGCUGCAUGGUGGGGGUGGGAAAGUUUCGGCGGUUGGGGAUGGACUCGCGGCUUAUCAGCUUGUUGGUGGGGUAGUGGCUUACCAAGGCUUUGACGGGUAGCCGGCCUGAGAGGGUGACCGGCCACAUUGGGACUGAGCUACGACCCAGACUCCUACGGGAGGCAACGGUGGAGAAUAUUGCACAAUGGGCGGAAGCCUGAUGCAGCAACGCCGCGUGCGGGAUGACAGCCUUCGGUUUGUAAACCGCUGUCGCCUGUGACGAAGCGUGAGUGACGGUAAUGGGUGAAGAAGCACCGGCUAACUACGUG
rnacentral:rRNA from 1 species